UACGAAGGGUGCAAGCGUUACGUCGGAAUUACUGGGCGUAAAGCGUGCGUAGGUGGUUCGUUAAGUCUGAUGUGAAAGCCCUGGGCUCAACCUGGGAAUGGCAUUGGAUACUGGCGGGCUAGAGUGCUGGUAGAGGGCAGUGGAAUUCCCGGUGUAGCAGUGAAAUGCGUAGAUAUGCGGGAGGAACACCGAUGGCGAAGGCAGCUCGCUGGGACGGUACUGACGCUGAGACGCGAAAGCGUGGGGAGCAAACAGG
rnacentral:rRNA from 1 species